rnacentral:lncRNA from 1 species
CUUGAGCCCUUCCCUCUCUCACCCUCCUUAACCCUCUUUUACUUUCUGUGCUUUUUUUCUUUCUAGUUUUCACAUAUGAGAGAAAAUAUAUAAUACUUUCUCAGUCUGCCUUAUUUCACUUAACACGAUGUUCUCCACUUUCAUCCAUUUUUCCUGAAAAAUGGCAUAAUUUUAUUCUCUAUGUCUGAAUAAUACUGCAUUGUGUAUAUAUACUAUAUUUUCUUUAUCCAUUCAUCUGUUGUUGGGCACCUAGGCUGAUUCCAUGUCUUGGCUAUCUAUGUUCUUUUUGCAUGCAAAAUAUAUUGCAUUUUAUGCAAAAUAAAAAGCCUUCAUUUGUUCCAACAUCAACUCUAAAGUUGAAGUGUCAUCUAAAUUUCAUAUCAAUCAGAUAUGGGUGACACUCGAGGUGACACUUGAAGUAUGAUUGAUUCAUCUUGAGGCAGAUUUUCCUCCAGCUGUGAGCUUGUGAAAGCAAACAAGUUAUGUGCUUACAAAAAUAUAAUGUUGAGACAGACAUCUCCAUUCCAAAAAGGAGAACUGAGAGGAAGAAAGGGGUGAUGGGUUCCAACCAGGUGUAAAACCUAGCAUGGAAAAUGCCAUUGGAUUUUAAGGGUGGAGAGUAAUGCUGUUGGGUUUGAUGCUCUGCCUUCUGGACUGACUGGGGCAGGGAUCAUGCCCUCAAGACGCUGACAGUUAGAGCUGCAACAUAUAAACUUGGAAGGGACACAAACAAGGUAUAUCCAUACCAUGAAAUAUCCUUCAGCCAUGAAAAGGAUGAAGCACAAAUACACGCUACAACAUAGAUGAACCCUGAAAGUAGUAUGUGGAGUGAAGGAAGAGCAGACUGUAUGAUUCCAUUUAUAUGAAAUGUCCAAAGUAGGCAAAUCCAUACAGACAGAAAAUAGG